GGGGUUUCUACACACAGCCAGAUGCUGCCAUGUGUCCUGCUUCCUUAAAGGGGAUUAUCUUGCUCCUUAGUUAUCCUCUGAGGAUAGAGGUCACUGGUCCUGAGUCUACAGUGAGUCUUUGCCAAUUCAAACCCACGGAGCAUUGAAGUCACACCAAACCAGAUCACACUGCAAGACUGUGUGAAGCAGAAGACCAGUCUCUCCAAUUAGUGAGGAGUUCCUCCUUGCCACUACCAAGGUUUUUUUUGGGACAUUUACAGCAGCUUUAGAUGAGUGCUCUCGUUUUCUGCUUGAACUGUAUUAAGCCAUGGAAGGAGCCAUUAGACAAGAAACCGACAGCCUUCUGGAUAUGCUUGACUAUCAGGACAUAGAUCCUGACAAAAGCUGACCAAAGGUGUCAGGUCUGGAUCCUCAUUGGUUCAGUGGAUGAUAAUGCACCGAUCUCUUUAUGGACAGAAGCUGUUGUGUUUGAGGAUGCCAUUGACCUCACAGAUCUACUCUGCCUAUUCGACUCCUGUAUGCACUGUACUUUUCAGAAGAACAAAGAUUUAAAGCCAAUAAUGAGAACGAACUCCAGGAGGAAGACCUCAGUCCUGCAGAGACUCCAGUGAACCCUCAUAGCGCUCGGUCCUUUCAUCCUGACCAUCAUUACUCUCCUGAGGAUGAAGAGGAAUAUAGAUAGUCAUCAAGCAUCGUGGAGGUCCCUUUACCCUUUGGAUCAAAAGAUUUCUCUCUUAGUUUCUGUCCAAUGUAAUUACCACUGUUGGGGUGAGAAAAAAAUAAAAUCAGAUGCCA